CUGUGUGAUUACCAGAUACAUGUUUUACCAUCAGUACUAGGUAGAAUUGUCUGUGUGAUUACCAGAUCUGUGUUUUACCAUCAGUACUAGGUAGAAUUGUCUGUGUGAUUACCAGAUCUGUGUUUUACCAUCAGUACUAGGUAGAAUUGUCUGUGUGAUUACCAGAUACAUGUUUUACCAUCAGUACUAGGUAGAAUUGUCUGUGUGAUUACCAGAUCUGUGUUUUACCAUCAGUACUAGGUAGAAUUGUCUGUGUGAUUACCAGAUACAUGUUUUACCAUCAGUACUAGGUAGAAUUGUCUGUGUGAUUACCAGAUACAUGUUUUACCAUCAGUACUAGGUAGAAUUGUCUGUGUGAUUACCAGAUACUUGUUUUACCAUCAGUACUAGGUAGAAUUGUCUGUGUGAUUACCAGAUACAUGUUUUACCAUCAGUACUAGGUAGAAUUGUCUGUGUGAUUACCAGAUACAUGUUUUACCAUCAGUACUAGGUAGAAUUGUCUGUGUGAUUACCAGAUCUGUGUUUUACCAUCAGUACUAGGUAGAAUUGUCUGUGUGAUUACCAUCAGUACUAGGUAGAAUUGUCUGUGUGAUUACCAGAUACAUGUUUUACCAUCAGUACUAGGUAGAAUUGUCUGUGUGAUUACCAGAUCUGUGUUUUACCAUCAGUACUAGGUAGAAUUGUCUGUGUGAUUACCAGAUACAUGUUUUACCAUCAGUACUAGGUAGAAUUGUCUGUGUGAUUACCAGAUCUGUGUUUUACCAUCAGUACUAGGUAGAAUUGUCUGUGUGAUUACCAGAUCUGUGUUUUACCAUCAGUAGAGAUUCUACUUACAGUAAAGCUUUAUUUUUACUAACCUGUUUCCUUGUCUAGUUACAUUUGUAUGUAUAUGCCAAAUACUUGUUACUACUGUUUUGUUGUUACUGUACUGUUGCUGUCCACACUUAAAGCAUUGUAAGCUACAUAUAUGUAAUAAAUUAUAAAGCAGAAAAA